GACGAACGCUGGCGGCGUGCUUAACACAUGCAAGUCGAACGGAAAGGCCCUGCUUUUGUGGGGUGCUCGAGUGGCGAACGGGUGAGUAACACGUGAGUAACCUGCCCUUGACUUUGGGAUAACUUCAGGAAACUGGGGCUAAUACCCGAUAGGAGCUCCUGCUGAAUGGUGGGGGUUGGAAAGUUUCGGCGGUUGGGGUUGGACUCGCGGCUUAUCAGCUUGUUGGUGGGGUAGUGGCUUACCAAGGCUUUGACGGGUAGCCGGCCUGAGAGGGUGACCGGCCACAGAGGGACUGGGGUACGACCCGUAGUCCAACGUGGGGAAGCGGUGAGAACUAGUGCACAAAGGGCGGAGGCUGAUGCAGCAACGCCGCGUGCGGGAUGACGGCCUGCGGGUUGUAAACCGCUUGCGCCUGUGACGAAGCGUGAGUGACGGUAAUGGGUAAAGAAGCACCGGCUAACUACGUG
rnacentral:rRNA from 1 species